rnacentral:lncRNA from 1 species
AUAUUGUUCGUCAUUUUAGUCCAAACACUACCUUAAAUUGUCCAAACACUACUUAAAAUCAAAUUGAUCCUUGAUAAUUUACUUGUGAAAUCAAAUUAAUCUCCUUAUUUGUUAGCUAGACCUAAAAAUGCUACUACAAGGAUAAUCUGUCACUAAUAUAAUUUACAAUUUCAGAGAAUUUUAGUUGAUUUCUUAAAUUCAUAGUCUAACCUAACAGAACAAUACAAUUUCAGAAACCAAAAUGAGAUUUCACCCUAAAAUUUUGUUCAUAUUUUUUUUAUAAAAAAAAAACAGUAAAAUAGUUUGAAAUUUUUAAAAAACUUAUUUUUACAGUGAAAUCUGAUAGAAACUACAUCUAGGUUGAAACACAUGACAACUGAAAACGAAUAAUUUCAUAAUCAAUCGAUGAAAUACCAAUAAUAUUGUUCAGUUUUCUGAAUACAUAUU